UACGUGGGGGCCGAGCGUUGUCCGGAAUUACUGGGCGUAAAGCGUGCGCAGGCGGUGAUGUAAGACAGAUGUGAAAUGCCCGGGCUUAACCUGGGAACUGCAUUUGUGACUGCAUGGCUAGAGUGUGUCAGAGGGGGUAGAAUUCCACGUGUAGCAGUGAAAUGCGUAGAUAUGUGGAGGAACACCGAUGGCGAAGGCAGCCCCCUGGGAUAACACUGACGCUCAUGCACGAAAGCGUGGGGAGCAAACAGGAUAGAAACCCCUGU
rnacentral:rRNA from 1 species